ACAAGGCCACCCAUCGCUAACACUCCACAGGGAGAGCCACUUGCAGUCCCCCUGCCAGCUCCUUGUCCUGGGCCGUGGGCAGGGGAGCUGCUGCCAGGGAGGCAGGACGGCCGGGGGGGCAGCGGGCUUAGCCACAGCAUUGCCUACGUGCUGCUUAUUUCUGGUGCUGCAGGGCUGGGAUUGCAGCACCCCAGGAAGUGGGGAAACACUCGCUUGGGUUUGUUUUUUUUUGCACUUGCUGGUUCAGUCUUGGGACAGCCUGGCUGCUGGUAGGACAGCAGAAAACACAGGGGUGUAGGAUGGGAGGGCAUGAGCUGCAGGGUGCCUGGCCUUUGUGAGCCAAGUCCAUCCUGGUUGGAUGAGGAUUUCAUGUUCCUCUGGAGGAACCAAAGGGUGUAGGAAGCCCUGCCAGCUCUCGGGGCAUAGUCGCUGGGUGGAAAGCAGACCUGAGCCCCAGUGGGGCGAAGAGCAGCCAGGAGCUGUGAGAAGGAGCUGUGCCCUGGGUUCACUCUGUCAGAAAGCGAGAGAGGCCACGACACAUGUGAGCUCCCCAAAGAAUUUUCCAGAAGAACACCUGGGAUCAGCUGGGUGUUUUGUUGUGUUUCAAAGGUGAUGCUUCCUCCCAUCUCCCUGUUCCAGGUGCGUACAUAUACACAUGUGCAGACAGCAACUUCCUCGCACACGGAAGACCUUCAGAAGAUACAGAUUUCCCCGUAGAAUGGGAAUGAACUAAUUCUCUUUCAAAAGUGAAUCCUACUGAGCUGGGAGAAAGGGGCUCAGCCCUUCCCCAAACCAGUGCCUGACUUUGAAGGUGGGAGCAGGCAGAGCUCUGGAGUGCCCUCCUCCUCGGGAGCCAGGGAUCCCAUCAGCAGGAAGAGGAGGAGGAUAGGCACAGAAAAGAUUUGGAGAGCUUCAGGGAAGGUCCCCCUAUGUAUUUACUGGAGUGGCUUGACAAAGAUUUAAGUGUCAAGUGACAUGGCAAUGGCUCCUGUGUUAGCUCUACAGCAGCUGAGACCAAACCUAGCUGAACAGCAGCACUAAACCCAUGCCAUUCACUGCAGCGGUUUUCUGCUAUAAGAGCUAAUUAAUUAGUUUCUGAAGAGUCUUUUGAAGGGGUAAAGCACUAAGGAAGUGCAUAGCAGUGUUAUCCAGAGGGUGUGGGCUUCAAAGCUUAAUGGGCGCUACUUAAAUAUGGACUGAAUUAGUAAACUUGGUUCAUGAUUUCUUUAAAACAUAAAAAAAUAGGGAAAUCAUCUGAAAAAACCACCACCUUUCAGUUGUUUUGGUAGUGCUGAGCCUGAGGAAGUGUUGAGCAAUUGGCUUCCAGUUCCCCUUCCCUGGCUUUCAAGUGUAACCUACCGGCAUAGCCAGGAAAAAUCUUUCUCCUUCAAUGAUUUUCUAAUUUUAGAAUUGAUUUGGUAAAAGUGGGAGAAUAAAAGUGUUGAGAAAUAAUAGAAGAAAAGCAGUCCUUUUGGAAAGAUCGGUGGUGAAAUUCAGGUCGGUAGAGAAAGUUCCUGCCGUACUGCUUUUCUCCCAAAGCCUCCUGAAUUUUUUGACGUGGCAGCUGGCCCUUGCGCGGACACGUGGAGCAAGGCUGGCUCACGGGGAUGAUGGUCAUUCAGGCAUGUUGGGUGACCAGCAGGACAAAACAUUCCUCACCGAGAGCACUCGUGUGGGCUGCCCGCCUGGGGGGCACCUGCACAGGUUCCUGGACUGGGGCUGCCUUCUGCCAUUGCUUACCGUACAGCGGCUAUGGGUAACGGUAUAGGAUGAAAACUAAAGGCACCUGCCAAUGUAUGGAAUAUCCUUUUCCAUUGUUUCACCAGUGUUCACUGCCUGGUGUCUUUCCUAAAUGAUUUGCGAUGCGCAGAUAUAUUUGCUUCCAGUUCUAUCGAAUUAAUGGAUGUAUUUGUCUAGGUUUUUUCCUUUUAUUUUUUUAACUCAGGAAACACAUUCUUACAAGGUGCUGUUUUUCAGGACAGCUUCUGUUUCUAUCUUUCAUGCUUACCACGCUGAUAGAAAUCUUGUUUUGCCUUUAGUAGUAGAUUCCAACUUCAGUGAAUGCUGCUCUUUAUAGGUAAUAUCCAAUUGCUCCGCAGUAAUAAAAAGUUUAUUAAAAGGACAUGGUUCUGCAGAAUGACGUACUGCUCUUCUUGCUGUCCAGGAAAGGAAUUUGCAACAAGUUUGGUUUUUUUUUUCCUAUGAUUCUUCUGGCAAUUGUGUUUCUUUUCUGACAAAUUAUACAUGCUACCCUUAGUUUUUGUGAUUUGCAAUAACAUUUUAAAAAUGUGUUUUAAUUCUGAAUUGGCACCUUGAUUUGAGGAUAAAUCAUAGCACCCCUGUGAGAAAAAAACCCAACCACCCAACUGAUAUGGCUGGCAAUUACAUUUAUUUGUGCUUUCUACUGUAAAUAGGUUUUUUGGGGUAUGAGCCUGUUCAUUCUGUAUUCGUUGGAUGAACUGGAAGGUAACAAUAUGCUCACCUAGAGAUGUUUCUUUGAGCAAAGCUUCGAGAGCCUGCAGUGAGCAUCCUCAGCCAGUAACGGGUGAAAUGCAGCUCCAGGAACCGUAGCAGCACUUGCGAAACCUGGGUGAUUAAAUUCAGCCACUUCAGCUUGGUCCAAAGUCCACGGAAAGGCGCAGGAUUCUCGUUCCUCCAAACUUUUAAGAACAAGAGUUUCGGUAGGACGGGCAUUUAUCUUGCUUGGGGUUGUGUCUGUCUGGGCUUUGGGUGGUGACAUCCAGAGGCGAUGGCAGGCUGCAGAACCAGGGGGGAUGCUGUGUGGGACGUGAUGGGGGCACUCGGGACCCUUCCCCUGGCAGCAGGGUGGUGGGGGAGAGGAGGAAACACCCUCCAAGGGAAAGAGCAUGUGUGUCCUGCUGCAUUAUAGACCUGGAACACAUAAAAGAUAAAUGAGGCAAUGAGUUACUUCACCUGCACCAAGUGCUGAGGAAGAGGAGGUUGUAGCAAAGGGAUUAAGAAAUAAGCCUGGACCCCUGGGGAGGGGUGGGACAGAGACCCUCGGGGCUGCUGGGGACCUGCUUUGAAUUGGCAUUUGAGAAGCAGCUGUGUUGCAGCUCUCUUAGGGAGACCAGCUGGGUGUGAAUGACACCCUAUGAGCACGAUGCUCUGGCAUCACAAGAGGGACGCGUCUGGCCAGCCCGGUGCUUGGCCGAGCCACAGGAGCUGUGGCAACCUCCCUGCCUCCACCAGCCCUUGGCCACUGGGGAGCAGAGGGAGCUGGCCCGGGGCAGCCAGCUGCUGCCAGUCAGGACCUGGCAUCCUGCAUGGGGUAUGGCCAAGGGAAGAAAAGAGGUGGGCAAAACAGAGCGGCUCAAAGGAGGAUUAAUUUAACAGGAUGGCAUAUUAUUUUUCUCUACUUUUGCCAUUUGCUGGUGUAGGAUGGUGACUGGAGGAGCAGAAGCUGAGCAGCAGGGCUCCCUGGGCCUCAAACCAGCAGCAAACCCCCCUAGGAUCCCAUUCUGUGUCUGUCCCUCCUGAGCAAAGCACCCCAGUACUUGCCUUUCCACCUUCUUUUUCCUGGUGAAGUAACUCGGAUUUUUUUUUUAAUGUGUAUUCACUUCCUAAUUUGCAAGGAUUAAUUAAUUCACAAUGGAUGUCUCAGUCGUGGCUGUGAAUUAGCAAAUUGCUAGUGCACUAAGAGCUCUCUCACGUGUUGAAUUUAAUUCCUGCUUCUCAGAGCUUAGCAAACCCACGCUCUCUCUGCUGGGGGAUUUCCCUGUGGCAUACUGCGCGGGGAUGGGAGCCGCACCGAGCCCAUUAUUUGCCCCAUCUUUUUUCCAGUGGUCAUUGGUAAAGCGAUAGCUAUUUUCCAGGAGCUGGUGUUGAAUCCCUGUACCAGUGCUUGCCUUUAAUUCCUUCUUCUUUCUAGUCAGUACCCUGAAUAUUAUCUGUUUAGACUUGAACGUUUUUAGCAUAAUUACAGGUUAACAAUUUCUCAGACAUACACACCCUUUCCACGGUGGCUUUGAAAGCAGCGAUUUCCAGCUCACAAGUGGGAUAUACGAAUGGCCAGCAUUUCGCUGACUGCGCGCCACGGGCCCAAGCUUGGCAAAGCCAUUCCCCAAGGUCCCGUCACCUCGUACAGGCAGCGUGGACCCAGAGGUCCAGAGCUGCAUCAUCUCCUGUAUCUUUAUAUAAGAGCAAGUAUAUGUUUGGGGGAUAUAAGCAAGUAUAUACAAAUAUAUACACAUAUACACACACGCUCGCUCUUGUAUCUUUUAUUUUUAUAUAUAUUUGAUACAUAUAUAUAUCUCUGUCCUGUCCCGUGAGGUGCUGAGCACAGCAGGGCUGGCAGGGGCAGCCCCCAGAGGCACUGGUGCACUGCCAGGCUGGACCUGGAUCCCGCCGUGCUGGUCCUGGGUCCCGCGAUGCCGGUCCAGGGAAUGAUGUACUGAAUGCAGAAUGACGUACCGCUCUUCUUGCUGUCCAGGAAAGGAAUUUGCAACAAGUUUGGGGUUUUUUUCCCUAUGAUUCUUCUGGCAAUUGUGUUUCUUUUCUGACAAAUUAUACAUGCUACCCUUAGUUUUUGUGAUUUGCAAUAACAUUUUUAAAAUGUGUUUUAAUUCUGAGUCGGCACCUUGAUUUGAGGAUAAAUCACAGCAUCCCUGUGAGAAAAAAACCCAACAACCACCCAACUGAUAUGGCUGGCAAUUACAUUUAUUUGUGCUUUCUACUGUAAAUAGGUUUUUUUGGGGUGUGAGCCUGUUCAUUCUGUACUCAUUCAGUACCCACUGACCCAGUGCUACUGCAGCUGCCCGGCUGCACCUCCCGGUGCAAAUUCCUCUGUGCUUCCAUGCUGUCAGCUGCAGGGAUGGCUGCAAGCGUGGUCAGAAACACUUCUGUGUCCGAGCUGGAACACACAGCUGACUAAGCAGGAUGAUUCAAGAAGACUGCUGGCCGAGCAUUUCACACGUUCUGUGAGAUCUUUCCACAUCAGAGAGGGCACCAGGAAUCUCUUCUGCUGUCAGGAGCUGUUUCCCACAGCGUGUUGCAGGCAAGUCAAGGGAACUGGAGGAGGGCAAGGGGAUCCUGAGCAGGGAAGGCGACGGGAUGCUGCAGGCGGAUGACAUACAAAGGGUCCAGGAAUGAAAAUCCAUUUCACAGGGGUGAGAAGCCGGACUGUGAAAUACUGCGGGUUGCUGCCAGGCUCCUAAAAGACACAGCUAGCGCUGAGUACACAGGAUCUAUAUCAGAACAUGGAACGCAGGGCAGUGCAACGGCUGAGCACGCUGCUUGGGCCUGGCAGCCAAGCCCCACCAGGCUGCUGUGCUCUCCCCGCACAGCUGGGGAUGGUAUUUGGUGCCUGGGUGUGAGAACUAUUUUUGCUAACGUUGGAGGGGGUUUUUUGUUUUGUUUUUUUUAUGUAGUAAACUUCCAGCCUGGGGGAAGGGAGCACCUGCCAGGCACUGGGGGGGCAGAGGAGACCCUGCAGUCCCCAGGGGAGCGCGUAGGUCCAGCACCUUGUGCAAACCCCAUUGCGCUGGUGCAGGUGUUGCUGCACAAAUUGCUUUUUGCCUUUCAGCUGCCCAGUCGCCUCGCCGCAGCUGGAGUAAAUUGUCACUCUGUAUGACAGGAGCUCGCUCAGCUGUGAGCACGGCCUGAGCAAGGGGGGCUCAGCCCCUUGGUGCCUGACAGCUCGAGCCACCCAGCAGGAGCUGCGGUGCCCAGUGCAGCAUCCCGGUGGGAUCAUCCUGGUGGGAUCAUCCUGGUGGAAUCCCAGGGCCUACCGCAGCCAGCUCUGCCCGCUGAUGCCACUCGCUUGUCAUCCAGCAGGCAAGGCCACGGUGACCCGUGAAGUUCAGAGGAGCAACACGCUGCUGCGGGGAAAAAUUACGGCACGGAGAAGCCCGACCCAAACCCUCCCCAGUGAUGCAAUGGGGGAGUGCAGGAAGGCAAUGGGGAGAGGCGUAAUUAAAAAGAAGCUGAAGGCAGAUGCUGUCGCUAGAGCCGUGGAGCGCAGCAGGGCAGGAAGAGCUGCAGGACAUUUUGAGAAACCAGGCCGGCAAGCGUCUGGGCACUUCGGGAAACCAGCAGGCAGGCUGCACAGCAGCAGUGCAUCGGUCCUGCUGGGUGAGGCUUCACCUCAUGGCGUGUAAGAAAUUCAUGACUCGUUCCCUAAAAAUGUAUUUUUCUGCUUCAAAAUCUCCUGGUGUGUUAGACUGCGCUAAUGAUCUGUGCCGGGACAGAGGUGGGCUUCCGUCCAUCCAGGCUAAUCCGUGUUCACACAGCCAGGGCAAUGGGUGCCUGUUGCCCACCAGGGGCACAGAAAUAGCUCGCAGCCCCCGCAGCCCCUCUGCGCCGCGCUGGGAACCUGCGGGAACCAUCCGGGCUGGGACUCCCCGGCCAUCGGGUGGAUGCAGCGGGCUGCCCCCAGC